rnacentral:rRNA from 1 species
AUACGAAGGCCCCAAGCGUUAUCCGGAUUUAUUGGGCGUAAAGCGUGUGUAGGAGGAUCGGUGCGUCUUUUGUUAAAUUUCACUGCUUAACGGUGGAGCCGCAGAAGAUACGAUCGGUCUAGAGUGUGCGAGAGGCUAAUAGAACUCACGGUGUAGGGGUGAAAUCCGGUGAUAUCGUGGGGAAUACCAAAGGCGAAGGCAUUUAGCUGGCGCAUUACUGACUCUAAGGCACGAAAGCGUGGGGAGCAAAAAGGAUUAGAUACCCUUGUAGUCCACGCCCUAAACUAUGCAAACUAGCUAUUUCGAGUAUCGACCCUCGGAGUGGCGAAGCUAACGCGUUAAGUUUGCCGCCUGGGAAGUACGGCCGCAAGGCUAAAACUCAAAUGAAUUGACGGGG